GCCAGCCCGCUACAGAAACUCAAGGAAUUGACGGGGCCGCACAAGCGGUGGAGCAUGUGGUUAAUUCGAAGCAACGCGAAGAACCUUACCAGGCCUUGACAUGCAGAGAACUUCCAGAGAUGGAUUGGUGCCUUCGGGAACUCUGACACAGGUGCUGCAUGGCUGUCGUCAGCUCGUGUCGUGAGAUGUUGGGUUAAGUCCCGUAACGAGCGCAACCCUUGUCCUUAGUUACCAGCACGUUAUGGUGGGCACUCUAAGGAGACUGCCGGUGCAAACCGGAGGAAGGUGGGUAUGACGUCAAGUCAUCAUGGCCCUUACGGCCUGGGCUACACACGUGCUACAAUGGUCGGUACAAAGGGUUGCCAAGCCGCGAGGUGGAGCUAAUCCCAUAAAACCGAUCGUAGUCCGGAUCGCAGUCUGCAACUCGACUGCGUGAAGUCGGAAUCGCUAGUAAUCGUGAAUCAGAAUGUCACGGUGAAUACGUUCCCGGGCCUU
rnacentral:rRNA from 1 species